CGGCGUGCUAUACAUGCAAGUCGAGCGGACAGAUGGGAGCUUGCUCCCUGAUGUUAGCGGCGGACGGGUGAGUAACACGUGGGUAACCUGCCUGUAAGACUGGGAUAACUCCGGGAAACCGGGGCUAAUACCGGAUGGUUGUUUGAACCGCAUGGUUCAAACAUAAAAGGUGGCUUCGGCUACCACUUACAGAUGGACCCGCGGCGCAUUAGCUAGUUGGUGAGGUAACGGCUCACCAAGGCGACGAUGCGUAGCCGACCUGAGAGGGUGAUCGGCCACACUGGGACUGAGACACGGCCCAGACUCCUACGGGAGGCAGCAGUAGGGAAUCUUCCGCAAUGGACGAAAGUCUGACGGAGCAACGCCGCGUGAGUGAUGAAGGUUUUCGGAUCGUAAAGCUCUGUUGUUAGGGAAGAACAAGUACCGUUCGAAUAGGGCGGUACCUUGACGGUACCUAACCAGAAAGCCACGGCUAACUACGUGCCAGCAGCCGCGGUAAUACGUAGGUGGCAAGCGUUGUCCGGAAUUAUUGGGCGUAAAGGGCUCGCAGGCGGUUUCUUAAGUCUGAUGUGAAAGCCCCCGGCUCAACCGGGGAGGGUCAUUGGAAACUGGGGAACUUGAGUGCAGAAGAGGAGAGUGGAAUUCCACGUGUAGCGGUGAAAUGCGUAGAGAUGUGGAGGAACACCAGUGGCGAAAGGCGACUCUCUGGUCUGUAACUGACGCUGAGGAUCGAAAGCGUGGGGAGCGAACAGGAUUAGAUACCCUGGUAGUCCACGCCGUAAACGAUGAGUGCUAAGUGUUAGGGGG
rnacentral:rRNA from 1 species